ACUUCCUUUUUUUUGAAAAAUACCAUUUGAGCUUUUACUUUUAGUUAUUCGACUAACUUUUUUAGUUGGUUUGAAGGUAAUGGACCGCUAACGUUUUUGCAAAAUGUUCCUUUGUUGAUGAGUUUAUUUGUUUUUUUUUUUGUAUACCAGUCAUAGAGCCGGCCUAGAUUAAUACACAUGAAAGAAUGGUUUUGGACAACAACUUUUGUAAAUAAUUGAGAGUACAAUUGCAAAAGAAAAUCUUUUUUAAUACAAUGGUUUGAAAGAUUCUAUUUGUCUCGUAUAGAAUAAGUUCGAUUAUUAUUAAAAAAAAUAACAAAUUUAAAUAUCUUUUAGCCUAUUAGGUGUUAAAACUUAAAAGUAUAUGGGGAUGGCAUUGCUAGGCAAGUGGUCUCACGGCGAAGUCAUCCAUUUUCGUCCCCCUUUUUUGUUUCGAACUUUGGUCUAUUUAAAUUAUUUCAAAUAUUAAAUAGUAUGUAUAUCCAAAACAAAGGUAAAAAAAAAUUAGUCAAGCCAUCGAGAGAGAAAAGAAGAACAAAACUCCAGGUCAUCCGAUCUCCCUCCAUGGUUGGAGGUGCUCUUCACCGCCGCUACGUGAGGAAGGAUCUCUUUUUUCUCUUUAGUUUAAUCUAAGUUUUGUAUGGUUUAUGAUAGUUUAAGUGAGGAUAUUUUUCUCGUUAGUUCAUAUCUCUCACCGGUUUUGACGAUCAGGAUCUAUAGAAUCAUCGUUGUUCGAGGGCUGCUUUAAAUUUGGGUUGUGGUGCUUCUGUUUCUUUUCGGUUGCUUGCAGUUAUGGUUAAUUCUUUUUCGCUUUGUUCUAGCUUUUUGGAUUCGUCGGUGUGAGGUGUAUUUGCUGUGGAGGUUUUCUCUUGCGAGGAAGUGACCAAUUUUAGCUCUGUAGAUCGCUAUUCUGCCUAACGAGUGUCCGCGUGUAAGAUCUGUAAAUCUUCGCCGGUGUUUUUCCCUUUAGCAUUUCAAGUUCUUGUGUCUUUGAGCCUAGGUGUUUGGUUUUGACUUGGUUCUGCCUCGACUCCGGUUUGCAACAGUCUCUGGUGUUGAUGCAAGCUUAUAUUCGCACAUGUUUAUCCCGAUGUUGCGCCUGUUUUGGCUUGUGGUAUACCCUUCAGGAUUGGGUUUGCCUAGGUCAUUGGUUAUUUGGUUAUAUUCGGUCUCAGUUUGUCACGAGUGUCUGCGAGUUAUGAUCUGUCCAUCAGUUCCAGCUUUAGUACAUGUAGCUUUCUAAUGUUUAUUUCUCGUAUUAUACUACCUCGUUGUUAUUGUCUUC